rnacentral:misc_RNA from 1 species
GAUGGAUGCGAGCUUCAUUUUUCGAUGGUUGAUGGGGAUUUUAAGAAGUUCGAAGGAAAAUGGUCUGUUAAGGCUGGUCCAAGGUCUUCAACAACAACUCUAUCUUAUGAAGUCAACGUGGUACCUAGAUUUAACUUCCCAGCCAUUUUUCUUGAAAGAAUUAUUUGUUCCGAUCUUCCUGUGAACCUCCGAGCUUUGGCUUUUAGAGCUGAAAGAGCUGAAAGUGAUCAUG